UUAACCUAACAAAUGUUUAAGAAAGAUUUUUAACAAGUAAGAGCAGGUCUUGUCACUUCAAUGGUGUAAGAGAUUAUUCUUUUGCACUAUUGUCUCAAAGUUUGCUGAGGAACACUGAUGGACACAUCCUGGGCAAGGGCUGAGAAAUCUUUUGUCUGAAGGACACAGACGGUAAAGUCCGGACAAGUCCUUGUCAAAGUUGGCGAAAUCUUUUGUCUGAAGAUUUUACAAGCCAGGGGCAACGAGAGAGAGAUAAAUCGCAGCUUAAUGGCCGGGAAGCAGUCUUUUGUGUGGGUUUAUCUCGAGGGAUAUAGCCAUCUCGGGGGGGUACUGCACAUGGCUCUUACCCAAGCUUCUGCCACACUGGCAGAAGAAGAAGGAUAAAAAGGGGGCCAACAACCAAGAGAUUAGGUGUCAGACAUCAGAAGCCUUACGAGCUGAUGCCUGAAAGCUGAAGGACUCUCUUCUGGACCUGCUACCUGAGAUCUGCUGCUUCCUCCUGGACUUACCCAGCUGCUUGUUCCUGGCACCUGCUUGCAGCUUAAAGCCUGUCACGCUGCUGCUGCUCUCCCCCUGCGCUUUUGCCUCGGACAAUCGGAACAACAUACAACGGGACGCUGCUGGAUCUUGGUGCCUUCGAACUUCUUCCCCACAUGUCCCAGAAGAGGGAAGCGUGGUGCGAGGGGAAGCCCUGUCACUGUUGAUAUAAUCAAGUAAACAGCAACAAUGUGAUAAUACAAGAGAAAUGCAGAGGACUGGUAUUUUGUUUAGUGUCAGUGUGAGGACAAUGUUGGUAAUCUCUUUCAAAUUCUUUUCAAUAAAAACAAUCAACUAUUUGCAGGAAUAUUUGCCCUCUUGAUUUAGUGCAUGGUUCCCAGCUUAGAAUGCAGUUACAAAAUAUCUCUUUAAAAAAUAAUUCUUUAACAUCUGUAUUUUUAUAUGUAGUUGUUCUGAGUUUUAAAAUAUGUUCUGAUAAAGGAUCAUCCAGAUAUCUCUAAUAUCUGGUGACAAAAUUUUGUGCCAUAGCAUCAGUCAAAAUGAGACUCAGUCAAAACGUGACUCAGACAAAAUGUUUUGGUGUUGUAUCUACCAUAACACUGAUGAUAGAUGAGAAUUUUCUGUAUUUUGUCAUAUGGGCACAUAAAUCAUAAAAUAUGUCUUUAUACAUAUCAUGUUAUUUAGUGCACAUUUUCACCAACUACACCACAUGAUGCAAAGACGUUGAUACCAUACAUUUUCUGCAUUCUGUAGGCAUGGAGGAGUAUAAGAAGUUUGAUAGACAGCUAAGGAACAGGAGUCUCCUACAUCAGGAAGGAUACACACCUUGUAUACCAUCAUUUUUAGCACAUAUAUCUUCCUUAUAAGACAUGCACUCUAAAAAUUUGAAAUUUUGGCUUUGAUUCAGCAGUCAUUUGCUACUGACAGGGAUCUUGAACAAUACACCAGUCAACAAGUAGCAAUUCAAGUGCCCAGAAAUCUUAGACUGUGGGUAAUUUUACCAAUAAGUAAGCGAUGAUUUUAAAAAGCUAGAAGGAGACUUGGUAAUUCCCAAUACAUGUGAUGAUCUGAGCCUUAUGACUAGUCUUAUGUUAGCUUACAGUGAAGGAGAGAUUUCCCAGAGGUUUAUUGUUGUGGUUUAACCCAGCAGGUGGCUGAGCUUCAUGCAGUUGCUUGCUCACUCACUCCCCCUUUCCAAGUGGAAUGGGGGAGAGAAUCAGGAAAAAAAAAAAAAAAAAAAAAAGUAGAACUUAGUACAAAAAAAAGUAGAAUAAUGUACAGUACAGCUAAUUUUCAGAUGUCUGCUAACAUUUAAUUUAAAGCUUCACCAUUACUUUGUUUUUAUACAUCUUGUGUAAUCAUUUGACAAUUUUUUGAAAUGGUAGAUUAAUAUUAGUACGAAUGAGCUAGCAAGCUGUCCAAGGGUAAGUAGAAAGCAGAGGAAUGAGAAAGCCUGCUUAUGAAUAGUAAGCAAAAUAAAAACAAGUCAUGGUAAAGGAUUUAUUUAUUUUUUUUCUUUAAUAUUGCAUUGUAUAUAUUAACUGUGAAGCAAAUGACUGGAAAACAACAGUGAGCUAUUCAUGGUAUCAUGCUAAACUACGGUAAAAAAUAAGCAUGUUUCCUAUUUAAAUGUUGAAGGUUUGAACAUUAUCUUUUAUUCUUCUCUGCGGUGGCAUGCAGAUCAAAAGAUGACAGUCACGUAGUAAAAUGCAUAUUUAUUAAUUUACAUUGUAGUAAUUUAAGCAAUUGUCGAAUAAUUUAGAUGUCUUGCAUAUAUUUACCUUCAUAACUGGGUUCUGAAAAUAAGAAGGCUAUAUUUGAACAGACUAUCAUGAAUGUGAAAAUAUAUUCCCAAAAAUAAGCAAAUUCAAGAAGAUUAUAUUGGUUUUGGUUUGCUUUGUUGUUUUAUUAUUUUAUCUUACUUUUUAAUUCAUCCUACCCGCAUAAGUGCCUAAGGAGAAUAUGCAGAGUCAUGUGCACUCCCUAACAGAUGCCUCCUAUUUUAAACACCACUGCCUAAUUAGAUGAGAACUGCACAAGGCAAAAUAGCAGAACCUGCAAGCAGAAUGAGGAACAUGUGGGAUUUACAUUUUUCAUUAGUCCAAAUCUGCACAUCCACUAACUCAAACAUUUUUGACCACAAGAUUAAAAAUCAGAAAAAUAUGAAAGAGUUAAGAGUUAGCAAAGGUAUCAGAGAUGAAUAUGAGGGCCUCAUCAGAGGCUGCCCAUUCCUAUUUCUGUUCUUUCUGCAGGUUGCUCUAAAUGCAUCUUGCUUGGUUCCCGACAGUGUUGUUCUCACUGAUGGAGAGUGAAGCCAGAAAGAAUAACCCUAAGGACAGUCACCCUAUUCCAGAAGAGAAAAAGAGUGUAAUGGACAAGGAGACUGUUCCCCCUCUGAUGAAAGCAAAAGAAACAACGGGAUGCCUACUGAACUCAAAACACUGAUGAAAUUUCCAUGAGAAUGGCCAACUUUGAGGAUUAAAUGGCAGCUAAUGUAACCUUAUUUUAAAAAGUUCUGUUUUGUUUUGUUUUAUUUUGUUUCCACUUUGAGUCUAUGAGACCUUGAAAUGUCAAGUUUACUCUUAUUAGUGUGUUGAUGUCAGUUAUGUUAGUGUGACUGUAUAUGUAUUUCAGAGUAUGAUAGUUUUCUUCAAAAGAUUGUAAAGGAGAAAAAUAUAACAGAAACCACAAUUUAAUUCACUUUAUUAUAUGUAAAUAUAAGUAUUUUGUAGUAAUUAAUCUGAUACGGUAACUCAUCAUUAACUAUUGGGUAUGUGGUAGAUUUCCACAGAGAUUCAAGCAUUUUUUCUUGACGUUGCUACCAAACUCAAAAAUUAUACAAAAUCCUACUGAUUUUGUUCUAUCUAGAUUCCAACUAACUUAUUCCUAAUAUAAAUAAACAAAUAAAACAAACAGACAAAAAAAGCAACCCAAAGCCCCCAGAAUCCUAUAUGGCUUUUUAAAAUGUUUAUUUUAAAAAAAGAUUGAUUAAUCUUACCUGACAUUUUUUUAGCACAGAAGCUUCUAAAUAUAAUCAAGAGCACAAUGAGAACAAAUGUACUGUUAUAAAUUUGUACAUUAGUUUUUAAUGGAUUGUUCUCAUAAAUAUUUGGUGCAAUAAAAGAUCACAUAUUACUGAACAUUCUGUGCUUUUUUUUUUUUCAGAUUUGUUUGGUUAAAAUGAGGUCAAAGAGUAAAUUUGUUAACCUUCUAACAGCAUGCUUUUGACUAUUAAAUAUUAUUUGGAUCAUUGUCUUCUAUUUUAUUUUAUUAAGUACUUGCAGAAAUGCAUCCAGUUUUUCUUAUGAAACAGUACCCAACUUUGAUACCUGACAUGGUUAAGAUCAAUAUUUUCAGUAUAAAAGUAAUACAUGUGUAAAAUUGUAACAUUGAUGAAGAACAGCAGAAUAUGAACAAUGACACAUUGAGUUUUCAUUUGCAAUUCCUCAAAUUGUAAGUAUGUGAUAGUUAUUAUUUGUUCAUAAGUUCUGAAGAAUACUAAAGAUUUCACCUUCCUGAGUGAUGUAUUUUAUCCUGUAACUUUUUUUAAGUAGUUACAUAACAAAAUCACCUAAAAACUAGGUAUUUCCAAAAUGCAAGAAGCGAGUGCUGAUAGUUACAAAAGGAUUUAUUUGCAUGCUGCAAAAGAUUGAGACAAGUGAGCAGCUCAUUACUGAUUUAGUAAGAGAGAAUGACCGUACUUGAUGACCUUGCUAGCUUGUCUUUACCUAUGUAUCUUUUCUUACAUGUGAAACAGAUAAAUGUGAGAAAUGCCAUUUCAUGGACACAUAAGCAUAAUUGUUCUUACUUUUAGUCUUAAUGUGCCCAACAAUCUCCUUUCUACCUUCUCCUCAUGGGACUUUGGUAGGGAAAAAUGUCACUGAACAAGAAGAAAUAAACAAUAAUGCAAAGUUCUAGUUAAAAAAAAAGGAUGGGUUAUCAGAAAUGGUCAAUAAAGAUAUUCUUCCUGUACUAAGGAAUGCAGUUAUAUCAGUUAGAAGUGUUAUUACAGAAAUCCUUAUCAAUAUGACUUAAUAAAGACUCCUGUUAGGAAAGGGAAUGACUUGAAGGGAUUCAGCAGAGUUACCUGGAUAAGACAGUAUUAAUCUGUAAAGAAAUUUUCAAGAAUAGUGCAGAGGUUUUAUGAGUAUCUUAUAAAGAUGAAUCACUCUUUGUCUUUAAUUUAGGAUAGCUCCCUAUAUGUCACUAUCUGUUAGAACAUCAUGUCCAUUUUACAUUUGUAUUAUUUUCCUUUCUGCUUUAUGCUUGUCAGCACCUUGACAACACUAUCAGUCCCUACUGUUCCUGCCCAGCUCAGCCUUCCUCCAGCCUAAUAGUUGUCCAGACACUCCAUUUCUUCUGUCUAGGGCUCUCCUGCCCCAGCAAUGCCAUAGAAGGAACAGUCUGCAAGUAGCUUGUCUCUUACCCCAUCUCCUUUCGUUUCUUACUAGACACACCAGCUCCAGUCUUGUCCCAUUUGGAGCACACUUAUUCUUGCUUCUCCCUGGUAAAUCUCCUAGCCCCAUCUCUUUACUACAGUAAUAAGGGUGUGAUUAGGUGUAUUCUGCCUUUGUAUUAUUUUUUUGACAAAUAAGAUAUUAUCCAGGAAAAAUAACUCUUACUCAACAUGUCUAUGCUGACAUAUUUGAUCAUUUUUAUGGUUUUAUUACUUUAAUUUACUUGUGUCCUGUCAACACUCCCAGAGGCACCCAAAAUGUGUAGAAAAAUACUUAAUACAAGCUUUAAUUUGAUAUUGUUUCUGUUACAAAAUAAAUCUUUUAUUUGUUCACAUUUUUUUUCUUUUUUAUUGUUUUAAUGGAAAGUGAAGCUUUUUGUGGAGAAUGUGUUUUAGGUUAAAUGCUGCUUGUGCAUUAUAUUCUUCUUUUAACUUUUUAACUUAAAAACGAUUCACUACGUAUUUAAAUUUUUUUCUUCAGACUAUGCACAUUUUAUAUUAAAAUAAUAGUUUACUGAUUCCAGUGCAGAGCAUUAGGGGACUACAGAUAUCUUUAUUAGAUUGUGUUAGGACAACAGAGUAUCCAUGGCAUGUCAACAAUUAAUAAGAAAUAAAUGUGUUUCAUAUCUCUAAGUGUAACAAUUUACUCUAUCAACUUUGUAGUUGAGUGAUUAUGUAUUUCUCUGGAAAUUUCAAUGCUGUUUUCUGAAAAACUACUGUCAAAAACACAACCUCUGUGAUACUGUCAGCAUGAAGAAACCUCUUUAUAUUUUACUUGAGAAGGUUCUCCUUAUGAAUUCUUUAAAGAGAAACAUAAUCUUUUUAGCUGUGAAUAAUUAAAAGUUAUGAUAAAUCUAUUUAGGAAGCAUUGAAGGUAAUGGAUUUUCAGACAGGAGAGUAUUUCUGCAUAGGUUUUACUUCCAUGGCUUUUUUUUUUUUUUUUUUUUUUUUGUAGUUAAGGCCACAAAACACUUGUGUGAAAUUAUGUACAUAUGUUAUAUGUUAAUAAACAGAAAACAUAUAAAACUAGAUGUAAAAUAUUUCAAUUGUUAUGAAAGCAUAUAAUUUCUCUUCUACAUCACUACUUAACUUAAAAAGGAGAAAAAAGAAGUAAAUGUUUUCUGAUCCAUUGCUUUUGAGUUUUCUUUAAAAGAAGAAUACCUUUUUCUUGUCAAUAUUCUUCAUAAAAAGUAAAGAAAAUAUGUUCCUUUCAGCAUAAUGAACCCAUCCUUUUUAUUCUUUUCAAGAGAUUUUUAACAAUGUCAUUAGUGGGGGGAAGCUGAUUCAAUUGCCUUCUUAUAAAUUCAGAAUAACUAGUCACAGAAUGAAAAUUUAAAAGUAAUUUUUUCUGAAGCUAGAAGAAAUUCUUUAUAUCUAUAAGCAGAGCUAAAACAUACAUAUAUUUCUUUCCCUCUGUUUUCACCAUUAAUCCACCCUGUCCCACUAGUCUUUCCAUAAUGAACAUGAAGCACUACACACAUAUGAUGAUGAGGUUACACAGAAGCUGAGGUGGCAGGAAAUUGAAGGACACAAAACAAUCAAUAAGGAGAAAUGUGCGUCUGACGUUGUUCCUUCACUGAAAGAAAAAGAUCAUCUUCAGAAAAACCAGUAGAAGGUAAAAACCUCCUCAGUAUGAGUAGGAACAAUUGAAAAAGUACAGUAAGGGAGUAGAACUGAGGAACUGUGAUUCAAAAGCCUUUUUGGAAUCUUCACAUUGAUAGCUAUGAAACAUCCUUUAAUCAAUUUAUAAUAUUACUUUCUAAAUAGCACAGAGGAAUAAUUUCUGUAUUUUCUCCUUCCUUUAGGAACAUAAUAAUUCCUAACUUUUGCAGAGCUGAAUCUGGUACUACUUUUUCAAUCACAACACUUUAUUUGUUUAAUAAUUUUUUUUUGUUAUAUUUAAAGAAGGCCAAAACUUUAGUUUCUUUAUUUGAAAAUGUCUGUAGACAAAGUUAAAAAGGCAUUUAUUACCUAUACUUUUGUUCUUCAAUAUUUUUAUGUUAAUGUCACCUUAAUGAAGGAGUAAAUCCAUUGUAUAUAGCCUGAAAAUUUAUGAAGAGCCAGGUUUUCCUAUUGAUAAAUGCUCUUUGUUAAUGAUCCAUUGGCUUGUCCCAGGGGAAAUAAAUUAUAUUUAUUUAUUUCUGAACAAACAGAAUGAACAAAACCAGCAAACUGAAGUUAAUAGAACAAUCAUCAUCAUAUCAUUUUCAAAAGAAAUUAUUUGUAGAUAAUUCACUGGGUAAAAAUUAUUCUCAAUCUUAGAAUGAUAUUUGUUAGGGUAAUGGACCAAAACUACAAGAGUUACUAUGAAAGUAGUGUCUCUUAUUUUUUUAUGUUGUCCCACAACAUCAGAGGUGAAUGUUGACUGUAUGGCAAUAAAAGUUGAACCUUUGCACCAAUAUUCUGUUGCCUUGUGACAGACAGCAGCAGGGGCAAUCUGACAAAAUGGUGUCUGCCUUGAAAGUGUGUAUGAAGCAGAGGUAUGUGAUUGAAUUCCUCCAUGAAGAAAAAAUGGCACCCACUGACAUUUGUCAAUGCUUGCUGAAUGUUUAUGGAGACCAAACAAUGUAGGUGAGCACGGUGAAGCAGUGGGUGGUGUGUUUCAGCAGUGGUGACAGUGACAGUGGAUCACCUCUGCUUGUGAAGACUUUUAUGAGAGUGGCAUGCAGACUCUUGUUCACUGCUGGUGAAAAUGCAUAACUAACAGUGGUGACUUUGUUGUAAAAUAGUGCUUUGUAGAUGAGAACUUGCUCAAUCAAAUAGUGUAAUUGUGCUCUUUCUGUCUGUUGAAUUUUCCAUUGAAAUAAAAAGGACACGUUAUUUUUGGAGCUACAUACGUGGGUAAAGAAAUGUAUUUAAAAUCAUAUAGUGUUGGCUAAAACCUGUGAGCAAAGUUUUAGGGUUUUUGUUUGUUUGGUUGGUUGGUUUUCGUUUUUUUUUUUCAGCUAAAAAUAACUCAGAUCCUUGGCUUUUGUUGGCCAAGGCCACUUGUUUUACUGUUCUAUGGGGUUUUGUACAGCUGCUUUGAGGAAAGUCAUAGGGAUCCCUCUUCCAGGAGACUAAUUUCCUAGAACUUCAGAAAGCUUUCACCAUAAGAUACCAAGAUUUCUUCUAUCCACCAUACUGUUUCUUCUUUUUGAGGUAAUAUGUUAAUCACUGUUUCACUUUCUGCAGAUAUUGUGUUACAGAAGGUCUCACAUUUUAACAGCUAACAUUCAAGUCUUAGUGCAAAAAUACUUUAACCAUUUUCUUACCUUAUGGAAAAACAUAGAAUCAAACUGAAUGAAUGCUGGACCAAUGACUGUAGCAGAGAAUGAUCAUCUUUUUAUUGCAUAGAUUGGUGGGGAAUUAAAUACUGACAGAAGAUGAGCCAGUGAAAUGGAAAUAGAGUUUUGACAAUACACACAGCUUCC
ensembl:lncRNA